UUCGCAAUGCCCGAAAGGGUGACGAAGCGACGCCGCGUGGGUGAGGAAGGCCUUCGGGUUGUAAAGCCCUGUCAGGAGUUAAGAAAUGUAGAUUCGCUAAUAUCGGGUCUAUUUGACAAAGGCUCCAAAGGAAGCCACGGCUAACUCUGUGCCAGCAGCCGCGGUAAUACAGAGGUGGCAAGCGUUGUUCGGAAUUAUUGGGCGUAAAGAGCACGUAGGUGGAUUUGUAAGUCAGAUGUGAAAGCCUUCUGUUCAACGGGAGAAUUGCAUCUGAAACUACAGACCUUGAGUGUAGGAGGGGAGAAUGGAACUUCUGGUGGAGCGGUGAAAUGCGUAGAUAUCAGAAGGAACGCCGGCGGCGAAAGCGAUUCUCUGGCCUAUUACUGACACUCAGUGUGCGAAAGCUAGGGGAGCAAACGGGAUUAGAUACCCCGGUAGUCCUAGCCGUAAACGAUGGGCACUAAGUAGAGGGGUUUU
rnacentral:rRNA from 1 species